rnacentral:rRNA from 1 species
AUUGAACGCUGGCGGCAUGCCUUACACAUGCAAGUCGAACGGUAACAGGUUAAGCUGACGAGUGGCGAACGGGUGAGUAAUAUAUCGGAACGUGCCCAGUCGUGGGGGAUAACUGCUCGAAAGAGCAGCUAAUACCGCAUACGACCUGAGGGUGAAAGCGGGGGAUCGCAAGACCUCGCGCGAUUGGAGCGGCCGAUACCAGAUUAGGUAGUUGGUGGGGUAAAAGCCUACCAAGCCAACGAUCUGUAGCUGGUCUGAGAGGACGACCAGCCACACUGGGACUGAGACACGGCCCAGACUCCUACGGGAAGCAGCAGUGAGGAAUUUUGGACAAUGGGCGCAAGCCUGAACCAGCCAUGCCGCGUGCGGGAAGAAGGCCUUCGGGUUGUAAACCGCUUUUGUCAGGGAUGAAAAGGUUCUGGUUAAUACCUGGAGCUCAUGACGGUACCUGAAGAAUAAGCACCGGCUAACUACGUGCCAGCCGCCGCCGUAACAC